UGAAUACCCCACAGUAAAUGAUUGGUAUGAUGCCUUUAGCCAACUGGGUUUUACUUCUAUUUGAGUUUUAUUCUGUAAAUUUUAACCAGAUUGGAUUAUUACAAGUAAAAUUACAUGGGCAUGUUUCUAUAUUACUAACCAAUCUAUUUGUCUCCUUCUGUUUUUAUUAUGUUUGUGCAAAUCUUGUUUUUAUUAGAUUUAGAACUGUAAGAGGCUAAGAACAUGUAAGUGUGAUUCUCUUAGUUAGUAUUGACUUAGAGGUCCUCAAAGUGGGGUGCCUGGAUCAUUAGCAUCCCCUAGGAACUCAUUAGAAAUUCAAAAAUUGGAACUCCACUCCACACCUACUGAAUCAGAAAGUAUGGGGGCAGGGCUCAGAUAUCUGUGUACAGCUGAACCCUUCAGCCAUUCCAAUGUACUCUGAAGUUUCAGUAGCAAUGUAGUAACUCAUACUCACUUGGAAAGAAGCUAACUGAUGUUUGUUGGGCAGCUACCAAGUCAGUCACCAUAGUGGGCCUUUUCAUUAAAUUACUUCAUAUAAAUUCUAAUAGCAUAUGAGACAGUAUCAUUAGUAGACUCCACUCCUGACUAGAUCUGUGUCCUUGGGCUAAGUAUUUAAUGUAAUGUUGCUCAGUUAAUUUAUUCAUAAAACAGAUAUGUGUCUACCACUUGAGUUUGUUGGGAGGAUUAAUUAAAUUGACAAGUAUAUGAAAAAUACUAUUUAAUUCUCAUACUUGUUUUCUAUCAUCAUUAUUACUUUCAGUUAUAAGCAUUAUUGAGGCCUCAAUAACUUAAGUAAUUUGCUAGACAUGAUACAGCCAAAAUUUGAUCCUUGGCUGUUUUCCUUUAAAAGAAGAUCUGUUUUUGUCCUCCCCUCUCCAUCUGCAUACAAUAAUUACAUUUGUACAAUAUAUUUUGUCUCCUUUAUACAUGUACAUUUCUCCUUCUCCAUUAUUAUUUAUCUGAUAGCCUUCUCUAAAUAAACAUCAUAAGAGAGGGGUAAUACUUUGUAUUUUCCAAAAUCUGAUUUUAUGUUUAGAUGCAUAAUAGAUGUCCAGUAAACACUUGCUAAUUGUGAGAAAAAGUCAAUGGCUAAAACUUUCUUCAAACAUUGAUAAAAUGUCUGCUAGUGAAAUAAUAGAUUAUAGGAGUAAUAUUAAAGAAAAAUCUCUUCCCCCCCCCUCUUUUUAAAGGAAAUUGUCAGAGUAGCCUACAUAUGAAUACAAGGCUAAAUACUUGCAUGGUAUCUGGCUAAAUCUCUUUUAGUUAACAAUGUCCAGCCUAUAUAAUUCAAGGAGUAGAGAAUAAGAAAAUAUUGAUGGAUUUUUCUAUUUAAUAAAUAAAGAAAGAAACAGAAUAUUUAAGUAGUUGAAAGAUAUUUUACCUCAUAGAUACAUGGGAAAUAAUCUUAUGUCUUCAGAAUAAUUAUUUUUAAUACAGUUUGAGUAGUUUUCAUAUUGAGCAGUUGACAACUAGAAGAAAUAAGAAUGUUCAAGAAAAAUAUUUUCAAUACUAAAAUAACAAAUACUCUGGUGUAUAAAACUCUAUUCAUAAAAAUAUAACUUUUUUGUAUAUUUAUAACCACAUCAUAAUCCCCAUUAUGCCACCUAUAUUAGAAAUAUUCAUUGACCAUACAAACUUCUCAUACUCUUCUUUGUUGGUAAGAUAAUUGUUCAAUCUUUCCUCAAGAACUACAUAAUGUAUCAUAAUUGUUACUAGUGGCUAACUUAAGGAAUUCCCUGUGAUUGGAAGAGAAAAAUGAAAAAAUGAGAUAUGAGACUAAUAAACAAAUGGACAUCAACCAGACCAAAUAUGACACUAGAACUUUGACCACCAAGCCUGGGAGUCCAAAACACAACCUCUGCAACAACUGGGUCAGAAUCGUUAUGAAAGUCUAGGACUUUCAAAAUAUUUUCAAGUGAGUGAUUACCGACGUCCUUCAUUUUGGUCUCCUGUUUCUAACUCUGAAACUCUCUGCAACUUUGGCUGCAAAGAAACCACAAAUGCUUCCAAUCUUGUAGGAUGCCCUGCUUUUAGUUAACCCACCUCCAGCUUUCCCAUGCUAACAACCUCCACUUAGAGCAUACCCGAAGCUUUCUGUUUUAUGCCUAUAAAGUUCCAUGACACUGGCCUUGGCAAUAUUUUUUGGACACAACAAUAAAAGCAAAAGCAACAAAGGGAAAAAUUUUAAAAAAAUGUCACUAUAUCACAUAAAAAGAAAGAGCUUCUGCAUAGGAAAUAAACAAUCAAUGAGAUAAAAAGGCAACCUAUGGAAUGGGAGAAAAUAUUAGCAAAUUGUUAAUCUGAUAAGGCUUUAAUAUCCAAUAUAUAAAAACAACUUGUACAACUCAAUAACAAAAGCAAUAGAAACAAUCCAAUUAAAACAAGGGCAGAAGAAUUGAAUGGACAUUUUUCUAAGGAAGACAUAUAGAUGACUAACAGAUUCGUCAAAAUGCUGAAACCUCACUAAUCAUCAGGGCAAUGCCCUCAUCAGGGCAAUGCAAAUCAAACCUGCAGUGAGGUAUUUCCUCAUGCCUGUUUGAAUGGCUACAUCCUAAGAGAUGAGAUAACAAGUGUUGGUGAAAAUACUGAGGAAAAGGAACAUUUAUAUACUUUCAGUGAGAAUGUAAGUUGCUGUAACUGUGAUGGAAAAUAGUAUGGAAUAUCCUCAAAAAAUUAUAAAUAGAACAAAGAUAUGCUCCAGCAGUUCUACUUAUGGGCUUAUCUCUGAUUCGACCCCUAGCCUGGGAACCUCCAUAUGCCGUGGGAGCGGCCCAAAGAAAUAGCAAAAAAGACAAAAAAAAAGAAAAAGAAAUGUUCAAGGGUGAUGGUGAUUCAGAAAAGAAUGUGGGAUUUGAUAUUUUGGCAUUAUUGAAAAUAUGCAAUAAAAGUAUGUCUGUCAUUAUAGUUAUUAGGAUAAAAAACGAACUGUUAGAUAUAACAUGUAAGGGUAAACUACCCACACACAAGAAAAAUGAAAGAGAAAAGCUUGAAGAAAUAGGUGGAUCAAGGGCAAAGUUCUCCUGGACAGGUUAAGUCUUGAAACUAUAGUCUGAAAGGAAUGAUUAAAUGGAAAUAAGAAAUUGAUUGCCAUUAGAAAAAGCACUGAAAACAUAUUUAGGACAGGCAAGAGAAGAUGAAGACAAGAAUACACGAAGGAGAGAGAAAGUUCUUUCUUGGAAAUAAAGUAAUGGGUGAGGAACGGAUGAAGAUAACAAAUACAUUUUUUAAAUGGAAAUAGGAAAAUUGAAGUUGUUAACAUGAAUAACUUUAAUCCACUUUAAAACUUAUGAGCAAAUUAUGUCAUGGCAGAAGAGAGGUAGUUACAGAAAAGGGGGCACUGGAAAUAUUUCACUUUAGUGGCUAUUAGUAGUGUAAUGGGUAGGAACUGCUAUGAAAUAAUGAUGAUGAAAUGUGAGCAACACAUAGGGAUAAUUGUGUGUUAGAAU
rnacentral:lncRNA from 1 species